rfam:Triticum aestivum genome assembly, contig: Triticum_aestivum_CS42_TGACv1_scaffold_558353_7AL
UAAGUACUUCCUCUGUUUGAAAAUACUUGUCAAAGAAAUAGAUAAAAAUGAAUGUAUCCAGAACUUAAAUAUAUAUAGAUACAUUUAUUUCUCUCACAAGUAUUUCUUGAUGGAGGGAGUACUUA